rnacentral:lncRNA from 10 species
UGACCUGCCAAAGGCCCCACCUCCUAAUACCAUCACCUUGGGGGUUGGGAUUUCAACACAGAAAUUUAUGGGGGGCACGUACAUUCAGAUCAUCAUGAACAGUAACUCCUAUGUGUGACAGAAGGUGACAGAGGUGGGUAGUGGUCUUCCCCUCAAGGGGGUGAGUUGCCACUAGCUGGGGAAUCUUCUGGAAGGCAAAUGCAUAUGAGCUGGGCUUUACAGGAGGCAAGCGUUUCUCUAUGGAAGGGCAGAGGACUGUGGGAGGUAGGAGGUGGGGCUGGGGCAAAGGGAAGAGGGGAGCAGGGAAGUGGGGUGACUGCACACUGGGAGUGGGGAAUCAGAUGGAGGAGACGAUGAGGAGUUCUGUUAAGUUCAAGAUGCCAGUGCCAGUGACCAGCGGGCGAUGGUCUCUGGCUUGAGGGACAGGAUGGAGGGGAGACUGUCUGAGGAUGGACAAAGCUGGAGGGAAACAGCCAAUUGCAAAGGCAGGAGGGCGGAAGGGGGAGGGGAGAGGUGGGAUCAGCACUGGUAUAGACAGGCGGUGCUGCAGCCCAGCUCCUCUCUCUCCUCUGCCUCCUGCCCUCAGGCCCCUUCGAAGGCCCGAAUUACCACAUCGCUCCCAGAUGGGUGUACCACCUCACCAGUGUCUGGAUGAUCUUUGUGGUCAUUGCAUCCGUCUUCACAAAUGGGCUUGUGCUGGCGGCCACC